GGUUGCUUAGCGCUGUUUGCGAAGAGCACAACACACGUAGGGAAUCGUACCGGUGCGGUGUUUUCAGCCUGCGCCGAUUUCCAUCCGCAACGAAGAAUGCCAAGCUGCGCCACCGGUGGAUAGCUGCAGUGAAUAGGAAGAACGACCAACCCAGUGAAAAUGCACGAGUUUGCUCCGCUCACUUGCUGGGCAACAAGCCUACAGAGCAGAAUCCCGCGCCGGUGCUUCGCCUUGGCUAUAACAAAAAGGUGGUGAAGGGCAGGCGUCUGCUAACCAGGCAGUCAAACGACCUCGCCAGUUGGUUGCCAAACGCGGCCAACCCAGUAGAGACCAUGACAAACAAGACCAAACUGAAAGUGCAGAUGACAGUGUUCUGCGUGCUAUGAUAAUAUAUGGCACCAACACAGUGCUGUAAAUUCCUUCACAGGUUACGUGCCAAAAAGCUCACACGUGUUCUAGCAUAU